rnacentral:lncRNA from 1 species
CUUGGGUCACUCCACUCUCUGCAUUAGGUCUCAGUCAUCCAAGACCAUCUUUCAAGGGCCGUCACUCCAAUUAUGAGUCUGGGAUUUUCUGAAAUUGAGCAUUUUGGCCAGGCUGUGGGGUCCCUCUAUGACUGCCUGUAAGACACUGCCAAGGGGACUUUCUUCCUUUCACCAGACUGAAGCUAAGAAGUGCUGGAGACAGCAGUUGCUUUAGCCACAGGCUGUGUAGACCACCUGAGGAUGAGCUGGGGGUCUGUUUUGUGCACCUUGGAACCCAUCGGAUCCCUCCAAUGACACAUUUGUCCAGAGCAAGACAAGAUCACACUUUGACAGCCCUCUGUCAAGAUCCUUGCUCCAAAUCUCCAGACUAGCAGCCAGGAGUCUCCAUGCUGUUCUGAAGAAGCAGAUUCCUCACCCACCCUUCAACUCCUUCCCAGGAGGUAAUCCUCCUCCAAAUCUCUGGAAAAGAUACACCUCCUCUUCUCUGAUAAAGGCUGGGGGGUGAUGACCCUCCCCCAGUUUCCCAAUAAAGCUAUGCAAGACAGGGGCAAGGGAUCUCACGGCCUGUUUUUGCUACAAAAACCCUUUUUCGGAAAAAAUAAUAAAGAAAGGAAUCAGC